rnacentral:rRNA from 1 species
GAAGCUGAGCCGGCAAUGCGGGAAGAAGCUGAAGAAGAGGCAUCAGAUGAGCCCGUUGAUGAUCUAGGUCGGGCCAUUGCCGAUGCAAAGAGAAACUGCGCAAGUGAUUUGGAGAAGAAGAAGUUGCAGCGCAUGUUAGAGGAUCACAAAAAAUUGUUGUACCCGAAUUGCAUAGGUGACAAGAAAAAGCUGGGCACCACACUAGAAUUGUUGCAAUGGAAGGCAGAGAAUGGUGUAUCUGACAAGGGAUUUGAAAAGUUGCUGGUAAUGAUAAAGGAUAUGCUUCCAAAGGACAACGAAUUGCCCGAGAGUACGUACGAAGCAAAGAAGGAUGUCUUCCCUCUAGGGUUAGAGGUGCAGAAGAUACAUGCAUGCCCUAAUGAUUGCAUCCUCUACCGCGGUGAGUACGAGGAUUUGAAUGCUUGCCCGGUAUGUGGUGCAUUGCGCUAUAAGAUCAGCCGCGAUGAGCCUGGUGAUGUCGAGGGCAAGCGCCACAGGAAGAAGAUUCCUGCCAAGGUGAUGUGGUAUUCUCCUAUAAUACCACGGUUGAAACGUUUGUUCCAAAACAAAGAGCAUGCCAAGGCGAUG